GUGUGUGUGUGUGUGUGUAGGUCAGAGGACUCUUCCACCUUUUGUUUGAGACAGGGCCUCUUAUUGGCUGGGAACUUUGCCGCUUAGGCCAGGCUAGCUGGCCUGCUAACUCCCCAGGGUCUGCCUCGCAUCUCACCAUCCACUGUCACUGGGAUUACAGGUAUGUGCUGCUGAGCCCAGCUUUGUACUUGGGUUUUGGGGAUCUGAACUCGGAUCUCCAGGCCUGCGAGGCAACUGCUGUCUUGGCUGAGCCAGUUUUUUAAGUAGCGCAGAUAAAGGGGAGAGAAGAGCUCAUCCCUGUUCUGUGCUGCUUAGUCAACAGAGAGACGGCACUGAUUGUGUAAAUGCAUAACUUUCCACCCUCCUCUUAGCAACUGCAGAGAAGUGUUAUCUCCUUUAACCCUCUUUCCACAGAUAACAAGACAGUUGGCAGGAAGGCGAAGAUACUUUGGAGAGUUGCACGGCCUUGUCAGGUGCGGCGAUCACAGCAAGACUGGCUCUGCCCAGAGCCACACUGUGGUUUUGCUCGUGAGGGCAAAGUCCCUAGUUCUAUGCUUCUGCCAGAUGACAUGCCAGGAGGGAGGCUUUGGAGAGUCGGAGAAAAUGGACGCACAGAGAAUCCAGAGAGCUGUAGGAAUGCGUGGAGGGCAUUUUGGAAACUUUUGGAGGAGGGAGUUUCAUGAGGACGUAGAGUUGAAUGGUACCCCCAUUGAGGCACGAGGCUGGAGAGAGGAGUCUGUGAGGGGUUGGGUUCCAUGCCUGUAACCUGGCCUGUGACCUUGGUCACACCCAGCACAAAAGUUGUCCACCUCUCACCAAUACAACUUACUGCUGUCCAGGGUCUCAUUGAACAGAACAUAUAGCCGAAGACGGCCUAGAAUUCCUGAUUCUCUGCUCCCAUCUCCUGAGGGAUUACAGGUUUGAGGUUGAAUAAAAUUUCUUGAGUGAAAAGGGGUCACAGGUGGACUCAAAGUUUAAGGGCCCGACUGACCUAUCGGACCCUCGGCUCUCUCCGUCACUCAGCCGUGGUCAACAGGAAGUGCGCUCACCCUGCAUCGGAUUGAAAGCUACCUGACGACCAACCGUCAGUCUUGCAUCUGUGCCUGCUGUUGUGACAUUUACUAAAUUAAUUAAAAUUACUUAUUCAUUUA